AUAUAUAUAUAUAUAUAUAUAUAUAUAUAUAUAUAUAUAUAUGUGUGUAUAUAUAUUAUAUAUAUUAUGUUAUAUGGGUAAUUUGAAUCUCACAUAUUAAGCAUAUUGAGGGUAACUUUAAAUCUAGUAUCAAAUGUUUAUAAAGCAGCAUUCCACAAGUUUCUUUCUGUAUAAGUUGUAACAUAUGUUUCUAAUAUAAGUUCCUCUCUACAAAUGGAUAUGGGCAUAUUCUGUUAUGUGCUAUAACAACAUUCUUAUUUCCUGUGGGCCCCUUAUGCAGAUGUGAAGUUAACUACGUUUUUUAUAUAUUUCCUGUGACCUCAUGUAUGACGUAUACAUUCCUAUAAAUUCUUUGUGUGUAAUUCAAAUAAACGGGACUUUUGUGAAAACACUCAGUUGCAUGUGUGUGUGAUUUCAGUGGUCACCCCAGGGCCCUGAAGAAAACGUGUGCCGCACCCUUAUCAGCCAGAGCAGAGCUAAGGAACAAAAGAAGUGACCCUACAAAACUGGCGUCAGAAGUGGAAUGAAACAGGGAACUCUCGGAAGGAACCAACCCAUCCUUUCAAGCCUGGAGAUCUGGUCUGCAUUCGCCAGCUGAAUAAAGCAAAGAAAGGAGGUUUCCCGUUCAGCAAGCCAGUCACUGUGAUCGCUGUAACCAGGACUGCCGUACUGACUGAUGACAAGGACAUCUGGAUACACGCUUCACGAGUGAAACUCUGUCCAAAGAGAGGAGAAGCGGGUGACAAGCUAUCGGUCACCCCUCACAAAGGAGAAGUGGGUGAUAAGGUAUUGAUCACUCCUCACAAAGACCAGGAUGACCAUCUCAAUCAUGGAUCCAAGACAUUUCUGCAAGAUCUUCCUUUUCCUAAUGGGGAUAUUGAUAUUUGUGUAUAUCCCAAUAGUAUUAAUAACGGCAUGUUAUUACACACCUGAAGAUGCUGAACACUUUACACCUAUUUGUGAACUAUUUAAAACAAAUAAUAACUCUAAUCUUUUAGUAAGACCAAAAAGGUUUGCACCAUUACAUAGGACACCCCGUGUAACUGUCAAAUGUUAUAAUUUGUUUGCUUGGUAUGGUGAUGCUAUACAUAAUUAUAGCAUAAACCUAGAAGGUAGGGAUCCAAAAUGGUGUAAUAUCGAAGAAAAAUGUGAAGUAUUUAUUUUGGAAUCUGCAUCAAAAAAUCUAUGUUACAAUAACAUUUCAAAUAUAUUAACAUUAACCCCACACAAUGAUAUACAACAAUGUAGCAUGCAAGUUACUUCUUAUAUCAACUAUACAAGCUACCUCUUGUCAGAUCUUCCCCCCCGUUUUAUGGGAAUGCCAAAUAAAUUUAGUUUCAGAAUGAA